rnacentral:lncRNA from 1 species
UUUAAAUUGAACAAUGUGUUUCGGGAUGCAAGAUACUGGAUAAAGCGCUCGUUUCCAUACAUCAUGAGGUGGUGUGUUGUAAUUAGAGCUUUGAACACUACAACCCAGCUACUGUUUGCAGUUCUCUCAAAGAGCGUGUCUGCCAGCUGCGGAAUAUUCACAUUCAUUUCAUUUGUGCACUGUAUUAGAUAGUCCAGGUGCUUCUUCUUGGGGCCCAUCACCUCGUGGGUCGUGGCCUUGCAGACCGCUUUGGCCACGGCCGAGCCGGUGACGCUGUGCUGUGCCGCCGUGAUGCGGUCGGUGAUCGACUGCCCCGACAUCGCGGCGAGGCCGGGCGGCGGGAGCGGCUCCCCGAGGAAGGACGGCGGGGAGGAGUCCUCACCGGCUCCGCGCGCCCCCCAGCCGCGGCCAGGGGCAGGGCCAGAAGCGGGGGCGGUCCGCGGUGAGGCCGGCUGUCCCUCGCUGCGGACUGCGUCCCGGAGGAAAGCGGCCGACUCCGCUGUGCCUCCUGCUGCGGACUGCACGAAGGCUUUCCCUUUCACAUUUCCACUCCCAGACAAAAUGGCGGCGGCGGCGGCAUCAGGUGACCGCGCGCCCGCCCCGCCCCGUACCGGCGGGCUCCGGGCUGUGUGGGGCUGCGACCGCGGGGCGUGAGGUGAGCUGGCCCCGGUCGGGCUGUCCCUGCGGGAAGCUGCUGCGGGGUGAGCUGGGGCUGAGUCAGCAGCGAGACGACCUCUGGCAGAGAAGUGCCGCCCAGGGACAGCCCUGUGGUGUCAAAGCGGUUUUUCCACGGCUUCUUGUGGGGCGAGUUCUCUCCACGCGGUGAGGAGCACCAGUUCGCUGUGCUGUGCUCCGUUUGUCGUUUUCCUGAGAGGAAACAUGCGCACCGCAGCUCGUGCCAAGUGUGGCAGUGAUUUCUGCCAUAGUGUCGCCGUGGCAGCCGGACCAAGACUCCAACCACCCAUCCUCUGGUGGCAAUGGCACCUUGCCAGCAGGCUUGGACGCCAGGCCUGCUCAUUAGGCUCUGUCACUCAGCAGCAGCUCCCUCCAUCCUGCUGUCCCUGCUGCCCUCCUACCACCUCAUUACCUUCCAGCUAACCACCUCGUCAGUAGGACAGAAGUUUGAGCAGUGUGAUGCAAGCGAGCAGAGCUGCCCCAUGCCAGUGGCUCAGUCAUCCUGCUGCUAGGAUUGGGCUCGCCCACACAAGGCAUCUCAGCUUCAUUUUCAAAACAUUCCUCGAGAAGCUGUCUUCUCUCCUUGCCCUCAUAAAUGACAGCAGUUCCUGAAGUAAGAGGAGUGAGAGGAAAACUUCUGCAGAAGCUCUCUGACAGGACUUGCUCCUUUGCCUGUGAGCACACACUUUGUGAAAGCGAGUGUGGGUUUCCAGACCAAAAUGAGGAAUUUCUCUUUCACAACAGAGUCCAAUUGUAUCAAUAACAUGAGGGCACAUUACUCCAAACUGAACAUCACAGGGCAACUGCUUGAGGAAAAAAGAAAAAAUCAAUAUAUGAUGAUAAAGGCACCCAACUCCAGCACAGAAAGGAAAUGCUCAUUUCCAGUAUUCUGAGCUGCUCCUCGUGUCCCUCUAAAUCGCUGUUGUGAUAUUGUCAUUACUCUCCUAGCAUUAUGGUUUCCAAAGACAGUAUUUCCCUGAAUGACAAUGAGGAAGUUUUGCUGCUGCUGUACAAACUGUUAAUUGUUUUUCUGUCAUGCCUUGAGGCCUUGGUGAGGACUCCUUCCAUUGCACUUCGCUCCUAAGAAGAAUUCUGAAGAAGCAUUCCUGCUGCCUCAGGUGCUGCAUUCUCGGUGAGUGUCUCUGGACCUGAUUUCAUCUAAAAAACAUGUAGCCAUUUGUCCUUCGCAACAUGCACACGAUAAUGAUACUACUGAAAAGCAUUAUGACAUGGUAGAAGUAUUAACGGCCUUAGGAUCCACAGUGGAUAAAGUUGUGAAUGAAGGAUUUCUAUAACCCUGAGGGCAUAAAUGCAUUAAAACAUGGUCACUGCUGUAAAGAUAUUGAACAUUUCCUGUGCUGGAAAAAGUUAUAAGCCUUCUAUUCCCACUGGCAACGGUCAAUUUAUAGCUGCCUUAUUUUUGCCCUAAGGCUUGUAGUUUCUGGAAAAAAUAAUUUUGAAUUUUCAAAGUCUGAGAAAACAUCAAAACAGUAAGAAAAGAAGAGAUGGAAAGAUUAAAUACUCAUUAUAAAUGUCUCAAUCUCUUAGGGCUUGUCUAAACAGGGAAGUUGUUUCGAAAUAAGUUAGGGUGUGAGCUGAAGCACAACAGCUAUUCUGUGCUACCUCCACCCCCAACAGGGAAUUUCCUGUAUUAUUUUGUUUCAGAAAGCCUGAAUUUCAUGUAAGUACUGGAGUUCAGUGAGUCCCAUUGGCUAUACAGCUGUAUUUCUGUCUGUACUCGGUUUACUAGCCAGGCCCAACUAUGUCUAAUAAAUAACAUUUAGAUCUGGUAGGAAGGGAUGUGAUUUAGAGGGGGAAUAUUGGUGGUAGGUGGAUGGUUGGACUAAAUGAACUCGGAGGUCUUUUCCUGCCUCAAUUAUUCUAUGAGUCUAUGGUUGUCUGAGCUCAAAUUUUACUUGGAACUCACUAGCUUACUCCAAAUUCAGCCCAUCCUGCACUCAGUGUGGGCGAUCGAAGAUCACCACCUUCAUCGUGAACUUCUGCCCACAACAGUCUACUCAUAGAACAUCAAGAAUCCAACAGAUAGGAGAUACUAGCCAGUUUUUUCCUGGUUUAAUAGGCAAUCUGUGUUAUUCAUAUCCACUGUCAAUACAGGGUUAUUCACAUUUUCCAGAAGGAGCAAAAUUUACACAGGUAAGGUGUCUUUUGAGACCACUGAUAUCUUACAUGUUAGUGAAUUUUGACGAUGUUAACAGAAGGGUAAAAAUCAUAUGUAUUGUUAUUCUUGCGAGUUUCAUGGAAAUACUGUGGUCAAGAAGACCAAGCUAGCCUGACAAAAGGAAAGAAUCUUUAUAAAUACCCCUACAUUGGCUAAAACAUCUGUCAGAGGCUGCUUUGUCUGUGACGCUGAAGUUAUUCUGCUAUGCAACGUAAUUUAUAUACAUAAGGAAACCAGGUACUUGUAGAACCACCUAUUUUCCAGGUGCGUAUGUUUUUAGAUAUGCGAGAAAAUACUUACUAUAAUACAAAAGUGCUUGAUAAAUAAUAAAAAUAUUUUGGAGGGAUUUGGUGUUUGCACUUCUCUGAGAUGUUGCACUCUGCCACCUCAUAUAUCCUGCAGUUCCCACUGCCCACAGGCAAAAGGGGAUUCAUGUUGGUGUGAAGGUGAAGAAAUCAGUGACACAUCAAUCUGGGAUGUCGGCUAUCUUGAGGUGCACAUCUACGUUUUUGAUGAAAUGCAGAACUUUAUUCUUUAGUAACAGGUGUGUCUGGGUGAAAUUCUAUACCCUUUGAAACAGGUAAGAACAAAGAAGUCUCAGCCACCACCCCCUAGGGUGGAGUUACAAGGUGCAUUCAUCAUCCUCAAUUACAGACAUAUUUGCAGAGGGCUGUGGCAUGACACCAUGAAAGAUGCACAACUAGCUGUUUAAAUCAUUGAAUAGAAACCUAAUUGGGAGGUAUGCAAGUAAGGAGUGAUGGAGUGAUACCUUACCCACCUUUCCUUGGCUUGCCAGUGCUGAGUGCAUCACCAGUUCUGAGGAGACAGGAAGGCAUGAAUGAUUUUAGGGCUGAUAUUUCCCUUGCACCUCACCUAGUGGCUCUGCAGUAUGUGUUUCUGCAGAAGCCAUUCAGACUGGUCUGCUGGUCACUGCACAUGUGCUUGUGGCAGGCUGCAACCAGGAAGACAACACACUUUGCUUUACAUGAAGUAGCUGGCAGCUCCUGAGUUCGCACCAAAUCCAUACCUCUUUAUAAUGCUUCUUGCCUGUCUUUCUUGCCUCAGUCUAAAAACACACAGUUUUUAGUGUGAAAGCUGUACAUGAUACAAUUUUGCUUAUGUUGCUUCAUUAGCAAAUAUUCUGUCCUAGCCACUCUUCCUGUGCCCGUGGACUUAGGUUUACAUUUGUGAGGAUUUAAAACUGGAAGUAUGUCCAUUUUCCAUCUUGAUUCAUGAAUUUUGCGGUCCUUUGUUUACUGCAAGGUGCACAAGGAGGGCUUCUGAAGAAAGGAGACAGGAAACAUAGUCCACAUGUGGCAACAAAGAGGCAGUUUUGGGGAGGUGGUGGUCAGAGUGAUGGGACGUUUCUGGGUGUCUACCAUAGCCAAAUGGCACAUUGUUUUCUGGUAUAAAGAAUAUUUUCAUAAUGAGCAGUGAAUUCAGUCUGGCUGCACCUACAGCCCCAAGAACAAACAGUCUAGAGGUAGGUUUGUCAAUAAAUACCAUCUGCUUAGCAGCAUGGAAUCCAAACUAUUGCAGAAUCCACCUUAAUGGUGGCUGCUGUUUUGCUAGAUAUAGAUGAGAUGAAAAUGUCUACAAAAUACUUUUUUUUUUUUUUUUUUGGAAAUAGUGUGAUUCUGAUCUCAAAAAUAUGACAGGAAGUGUAAUGGGACUUGUUCAAUCUCAGUUUAAGUCUGAGAGAAUGAAAUGAACAGCUGCAGUUAGCUUCUUUCCUGAAGGACAGCAAAGCACCCCACAGACACCUAAGCUGUAAGUGGAGUUGCUUCUCACAGAGAUUUGGACACUGAUGUGUCUGAAAUAUGUCUUGCUUCCACUCCUGCCCACAAGGGAAGGAAAUGCAACUUUGCGAGCAGCAGAAGUAGCAGAGCCUGGUUUCCUCGAUGCUUCCAUGGAGGCUCCCAGCUGGUUUCCUGCCUCAGCAUGCUGACAACCGAUAAGAGGAGAAUUCCUGCUGCAGCCAUUCUCUCUGCAGAGGCACUGGCAAUCCUUGCUGCUUGGCUGCUUGUUUUCCAGUAAUUUCAUAAAAGCAGAGCAUCUGUGGGAUCUUUACGUCUCCGAGGUUCAGUCGAGACUGGCUGUUGGAUUCAAAGGUCCUGAAGAAUCCAAGAGAAAUGAGACAUAAGCAUCAUUUAAAAAUUCUGAAACCAAAAUGAGAACUUUAGCAUGCUAGAUGACUAAUUCUUCCCUGGGCAGAGACGUGUAAGAAAAAACUGUCACACUGUAGUCCAACUUGGAUUUAUGGGUGUGAUAUUCUGCUGAUCUUUUUUAGAGGUCUUCAUUUCCCUCUGUCUGUAUUGUAAAACAUGGAUAAGAGGUUUAGGUACAUAACUGGGAUGGUUAAAUUCUUCCAAAUCUUGCAUAACUGCAAAAUAUCAAAAGAUCAGAUCAAGAAUUUGUCAUAGAAAUUGCCUGGCUGGAACUCGGACUCAUUUUUAUGUCAGUUGUCUUUUGUAGCGAAGGAUCAGGGAGGAUUCCAGGGAAAGACAGACCUGAAUAAGCAACUCUUUAAGACACAAAUUUAAUUAAAAAAAAAAAAUGUGGUGUAAGAUUAAUGAAACAAGGAAGAGGGUGAAGAUGUAAAAAGAAGGUCAUCACUGAGGAGUGCAAUCCACAGCUCAUUGUCUGUGUGGAAGGAUAGCAGUGACGUAGAAAGCGGAAUCGUAAAAGGGGUGGGUGAAAGAGAAAAGUUUGCUGGGCAAGUAAACCAUAAAAGGUCUUUUUUAAUGGAGCAUGCUUACUUUAAUGUAAAUCUGCAGCAGAUCUACUUGCUUCCUGACGUUCCAGAGUUUCACUGACGAUGAAGUUUCUGAGACACACAAAGUUGCAAACAAAUAUGGCCUGAAAAUGGCAACAGAGAAAUUGGUUGGGGUGUAUUUACUCCCAGGAAAGGUAGCGUAGAGCCAGGAGUGCCAGGAGAAAAGCGCAGUGAAGUGUAUUUCUUGAAAAUACAAGGGAGAACAGUUUCAACGCCUCAUGUAAGUGUGUUUCUCUGAAGUCCAAAGAAGAGCUGCUUUCAGAUUCCAAAGCUAAAGCUUGCCUUCGCUGAAAAGCUUGACAUCAGGAGUCAUGGCUACACAGCAAUAAGCCAUGCCGAGGGCAGUUUGGAGAUUUUUAAGAGGACACCUGUGCCACCCCAGCCUGCUCCAGCACUCAGAAUGGCCCCAAUGCCUGCAGGGAAAUUCAUCUGUGCUCACUGUUCAAAGCAAGCCCUCCUAUGCUAAAUCCUCUUUGAUCCUCCAGGACAAUGAAGAGACCCUGAGCUGUAAUCAAGCUUGCUUUAGGGCUGGUUUUAGACCCCACAAGAUGUCCAGAACUGGACACAAUCCAUAGGGCCUUUAAGCCCCUUUUCAGAGUGCUCCAGAAAUAUGAACUCUGUGCUCAGCAAUGUCUGAUCGGUAUAAGCCACUCUCAUCUUCUGUCACAUGAGGGCAAGUCACACUUCCUCUGCCUCUUCCUUCCCAGAGUUCCUGUGGACACCAGUGGAAUGGGGAAGCAUUGGUGCUUGGAGCUGGGAGCCCUUCUCCCCAGGCAGUCUCCAACUUCUGCCUUCCAAGCUGCCACUGAGGGGUGAUCUUUUAAACUGCUGACUUAGAAUAGAAAAAGGAGAAAAGAAAGAAGAAAAAGGAAAACAAGAAACAAUUUGGAGCUAUGCCCUUUGUCUUCUCUCCUUGAAAAUACAAAUUAGUACUUUUUGUUUGUUUGUUUGUUUUAAAGAUAAAUAAGAAUAAAUGUUACAAUAUGAAGUAAAUGCUGUUAUAUAUGUUUUUUGUUUGUUUGUUUGUUUUUUACAUCAUGUUCCAGUUUGGUCAGUUACAUUAUGAGUUUAAUAAUGGCUCAUCAGUUCGGAAAAGCAGAAGCUGAUCUAGGAAUCUCCCACAAGUUCAGGAUCUGAUGUUUAGGCUCAAGUCUUGGUGUAAUGGCAGAGUCUGGAGCUCUGCCUCAGAUUUGGGGCUCUCUUGGGGAUUAGCU